CCCUUAGAUGUUCUGGGCCGCACGCGCGCUACACUGAUGAAUUCAACGAGCACUAACCUGUGCAGAAAUGUUCGGGUAAUCUUGUGAAAUUUCAUCGUGAUGGGGAUUGAUUAUUGCAAUUAUUAAUCAUAAACGAGGAAUGCCUAGUAAGCGUGAGUCAUCAGCUCACGUUGAUUACGUCCCUGCCCUUUGUACACACCGCCCGUCGCUCCUACCGAUUGAAUGUGCUGGUGAAAAGUUCGGAUUGGGAAUGGGAGACGGCAACGUAUCCUGUUUCUGAGAAAAUCUUUAAACCCUCCCAUUUAGAGGAAGGAGAAGUCGUAACA
rnacentral:rRNA from 1 species